rnacentral:rRNA from 1 species
UGGGGAAUCUUGCACAAUGGAGGAAACUCUGAUGCAGCGACGCCGCGUGAGCGAUGAAGCCCUUCGGGGUGUAAAGCUCUUUCGACGGGAACGAUAAUGACGGUACCCGAAGAAGAAGCUGCGGCUAACUACGUGCCAGCAGCAGCGGUAAUACGUAGGCAGCAAGCGUUGUUCGGAAUUACUGGGUGUAAAGAGUGUGUAGGCGGUGUUCUAAGUUUGUCAUGAAAUCUCCCGGCUUAACUGGGAGGGUGCGGCGAAAACUGGAAUGCUAGAGGAUGGGAGAGGUAAGCGGAAUUCCUGGUGUAGCGGUGAAAUGCGUAGAUAUCAGGAGGAACACCUGUGGUGUAGACAGCUUACUGGACCAUUUCUGACGCUGAGACACGAAAGCGUGGGUAGCAAACAG